GAUGAACGCUGGCGGCGUGCCUAAUACAUGCAAGUCGAGCGAACAGACGAGGAGCUUGCUCCUUUGACGUUAGCGGCGGACGGGUGAGUAACACGUGGGUAACCUACCUAUAAGACUGGGAUAACUUCGGGAAACCGGAGCUAAUACCGGAUAAUAUUUCGAACCGCAUGGUUCGAUAGUGAAAGAUGGCUUUGCUAUCACUUAUAGAUGGACCUGCGCCGUAUUAGCUAGUUGGUAGGGUAACGGCUUACCAAGGCAACGAUACGUAGCCGACCUGAGAGGGUGAUCGGCCACACUGGAACUGAGACACGGUCCAGACUCCUACGGGAGGCAGCAGUAGGGAAUCUUCCGCAAUGGGCGAAAGCCUGACGGAGCAACGCCGCGUGAGUGAUGAAGGUCUUCGGAUCGUAAAACUCUGUUAUUAGGGAAGAACAAACGUGUAAGUAACUGUGCACGUCUUGACGGUACCUAAUCAGAAAGCCAUGGCUAACUACGUG
rnacentral:rRNA from 1 species